UACGUAGGGGGCUAGCGUUGUCCGGAUUUAUUGGGCGGAAAGAGCGUGUAGGCGGCCAGGUAGGUCUGGUGUGAAAACUCGAGGCUUAACCUCGAGAUGUCAUCGGAAACCAUCUGGCUAGAGUCCGGAAGAGGAGAGUGGAAUUCCUGGUGUAGCGGUGAAAUGCGCAGAUAUCAGGAAGAACACCAAUGGCGAAAGCAGCUCUCUGGGACGGUACUGACGCUGAGACGCGAAAGCGUGGGGAGCGAACAGG
rnacentral:rRNA from 1 species